UACAGAGGUCUCAAGCGUUGUUCGGAAUUCAUUGGGCGUAAAGGGUGCGUAGGUGGCGCUGUAAGUCGGGUGUGAAAUUUCGGAGCUUAACUCCGAAACUGCAUUCGAUACUGCGGUGCUUGAGGACUGGAGAGGAGACUGGAAUUCAUGGUGUAGCAGUGAAAUGCGUAGAGAUCAUGAGGAAGACCAGUGGCGAAGGCGGGUCUCUGGGCCGAUGACUGACGCUGAGGAGCGAAAGCGUGGGGAGCGAACAGG
rnacentral:rRNA from 1 species